GACGAACGCUGGCGGCGUGCUUAACACAUGCAAGUCGAACGCUGAAGCUCAGCUUUUGUUGGGUGGAUGAGUGGCGAACGGGUGAGUAACACGUGAGUAACCUGCCCCCUUCUUUGGGAUAACGCCCGGAAACGGGUGCUAAUACUGGAUAUUCACUGGUCUUCGCAUGGGGGUUGGUGGAAAGGGUUUUUCUGGUGGGGGAUGGGCUCGCGGCCUAUCAGCUUGUUGGUGGGGUGAUGGCCUACCAAGGCUUUGACGGGUAGCCGGCCUGAGAGGGUGACCGGUCACAUUGGGACUGAGAUCCGGCCCAGACUCCUACGGGAGGCAGCAGUGGGGACUAUUGCACAAUGGGCGCAAGCCUGAUGCAGCGACGCCGCGUGAGGGAUGGUGGCCUUCGGGUUGUGAACCUCUUUCGCUCAUGGUCAAGCCGCAACAAUGGUUGUGGUGAGGGUAGUGGGUAAAGAAGCGCCGGCUAACUACGUG
rnacentral:rRNA from 1 species